rnacentral:rRNA from 1 species
AUUGAACGCUGGCGGAAUGCUUUACACAUGCAAGUCGAACGGCAGCACGGACUUCGGUCUGGUGGCGAGUGGCGAACGGGUGAGUAAUGUAUCGGAACGUGCCCAGUCGUGGGGGAUAACGUAGUGAAAAUUACGCUAAUACCGCAUACGAUCGAUGGAUGAAAGCGGGGGAUCGCAAGACCUCGCGCGAUUGGAGCGGCCGAUAUCAGAUUAGGUAGUUGGUGGGGUAAAGGCCCACCAAGCCAAAGAUCUGUAGCUGGGCUGAGAGGACGACCAGCCACACUGGAACUGAGACACGGUCCAGACUCCUACGGGAGGCAGCAGUGGGGAAUUUUGGACAAUGGGCGAAAGCCUGAUCCAGCCAUUCCGCGUGCAGGAUGAAGGCCCUCGGGUUGUAAACUGCUUUUGUACAGAACGAAAAGGUUUCUACUAAUACUAGGAGCUCAUGACGGUACUGUAAGAAUAAGCCCCGGCUAACUACGUGCCAGCCGCCGCCGUAA